rnacentral:rRNA from 1 species
UUUGGUUAAGUUACUAAGGGCGUACGGUGGAUGCCUUGGCACAAAUUGGCGAUGAAGGACGUGACUACCUACGAUAUGCUACGGUAAGGUGGAAAUAACCUAAAACCCGUAGAUUUCCGAAUGGGGCAACCCACACCAAGUAAUGUUGGUGUAUCCGUAUCUGAAUACAUAGGAUAUGUGAAGCAAACCCGGUGAACUGAAACAUCUAAGUAGCCGGAGGAAGAGAAAACAACCGUGAUUUUCUGAGUAGUGGCGAGCGAAAAGGAAACAGCCUAAACUGUCUAACAUGUUAAAGGGCGUAACCGUUGUGUUAGCAGUGUUGUGGGGUGUCUUCUGACUUAUUUACGCUAAGUCGAGAAGUUACAAAUUAUAUUAUUAACUGAAUAUUCUGGAAAGUUUAACUAUAAAGGGUGAUAGUCCCGUAAGUGAAAAUAAUAUAACUUCUUGGAAGACAAUCCCGAGUACCACGAAGUGAGUGGAAUUUUGUGGGAAUCUACCAGAACCAUCUGGUAAGGCUAAAUACACACUUGUGACCGAUAGUGAAUAAGUACCGUGAGGGAAAGGUGAAAAGUACUCCUAACAGGAGGGUGAAAUAGUACCUGAAACCGUGCGCUUACAAGCAGUUGGAGUCCCGUUUACGGGAUGACAGCGUGCCUUUUGGAUAAUGAGCCAACGAGUUACUCGUAUGUUGCAAGGUUAAAUUCUUAAGGAAUGUAGCCGUAGCGAAAGCAAGUCUGAAAUGGGCGUUUAAGUAACAUGCGGUAGACGCGAAACCGUGUGAGCUACCCUUGUCCAGGAUGAAGUGAGGGUAAAACCUCAUGGAGGUCCGAACCAUUGUGGGUUGAAAACCGCUUGGAUGAGAUGAGGGUAGGGGUGAAAGGCCAAUCAAACUCGGAGAUAGCUCGUAUUCCUCGAAAUAGCUUUAGGGCUAGCCUCGAUUAAAAGUAUGACGGAGGUAGAGCACUGAUUGGGCUAGGGCUGUCACAACGGUACCAAACCCAGACAAACUCCGAAUACCGUUCAUAUGUUUUUCGGGAGUCAGGCGAUGUGGGAUAAGCCGUGUUGCCGAGAGGGAAACAACCCAGACCACCAACUAAGGUCCCCAAAUAGUAGUUAACAGAGAAAGGAUGUUGGGUUGCUUAGACAACUAGGAUGUUGGCUUAGAAGCAGCCAUUCAUUUAAAGAGUGCGUAAUAGCUCACUAGUCAAGCGACCCAGCGCCGACAAUUUUCGGGACUUAAACUACUUACCGAAGUUGUGGACUAGAUUUAUCUAGUGGUAGAGGAACAUUCUAUAUGCAUUGAAGGUGAACUGCGAGGUUUAUUGGAGCGUAUAGAAACGCAAAUGUUGGCAUAAGUAACGAUAAUGCAAAUGAAAAAUUUGCACGCCGAAAGUCUAAGGGUUCCUGAGCAAUGUUAAUCAUCUCAGGGUUAGUCGGGUCCUAAGCCGAGGCCGUAAGGCGUAGGUGAUGGAAAACGGGUUAAUAUUCCCGUACCUGGUUAAAUUUGUUUGACUGUAAGGAGGGACGUAGAAGUGAAGGUUAGCCACCUGUUGGAUUAGGUGGUCUAAGCGUGUAGGUGGAAGGUGUAGGCAAAUCCGCACUUUCUUAACACUGAGGCGCGAACGGGAGAGCCUAGCUCAUAAACUAAUCGUAAUCAUGCUACCGAGAAAAUCUUCGUACAGGAAAAUUUAAUCAGUCCGUACCGCAAACCGACACAGGUAGACGGGAUGAGUAUUCUCAGGCGCUCGAGUGAGUCGUGGUUAAGGAACUCGGCAAAUUAACUCCGUAACUUCGGGAGAAGGAGUGCCUCAAUUAGGUGAAAUUUUUUCUUAUGGAGCCGAAAGAGGCCGCAGUGAAAAGGCCCAAGCGACUGUUUAACAAAAACACAUGUCUCUGCGAAGUCAAUUAAGACGAAGUAUAGGGACUGACACCUGCCCGGUGCUGGAAGGUUAAGAGGAGAGGUUAGCUUCGGCGAAGCUUUGAAUCGAAGCCCCAGUAAACGGCGGCCGUAACUAUAACGGUCCUAAGGUAGCGAAAUUCCUUGUCGGGUAAGUUCCGACCUGCACGAAUGGUGCAACGAUUUGGGCACUGUCUCAACCACGAGCUCGGUGAAAUUGUGGUACCGGUGAAGACGCCGGUUACCCGCAGAUGGACGGAAAGACCCCGUGAACCUUUACUGCACCCUAGCAUUGGGUUCGGAUAGGUCAUGUGUAGGAUAGGUGGGAGACUUUGAAGCCGCAACGCUAGUUGUGGUGGAGUCAACGGUGAAAUACCACCCUUGGUUUAUUUGGAUUCUAACUACGACCCUUGAAUCAGGGUUUAGGACAUUGCUAGGCGGGUAGUUUGACUGGGGCGGUCGCCUCCUAAAAUGUAACGGAGGCUCUCAAAGGUUCCCUCAGCACGGUUGGUAAUCGUGCGGCGAGUGUAAAGGCACAAGGGAGCUUAACUGCGAGACAUACAGGUCGAGCAGAUACGAAAGUAGGACUUAGUGAUCCGGCGGUAGCGUGUGGAAGUGCCGUCGCUCAAAGGAUAAAAGGUACUCCGGGGAUAACAGGCUGAUUUUGCCCAAGAGUUCAUAUCGACGGCAAAGUUUGGCACCUCGAUGUCGGCUCAUCGCAUCCUGGGGCUGAAGAAGGUCCCAAGGGUUUGGCUGUUCGCCAAUUAAAGCGGUACGUGAGCUGGGUUCAGAACGUCGUGAGACAGUUCGGUCUCUAUCCUCUGCGGGCGCAGGAUACUUGAGAAGAUUCGCUUCUAGUACGAGAGGACCGAAGUGAACGAACCUCUAGUGUACCAAUUGUCACGCCAGUGGCACGGUUGGGUAGCUACGUUCGGAAAUGAUAAGCGCUGAAAGCAUCUAAGUGCGAAGCAUACUUCAAGAUUAUGUAUCCCUUCCCAUUUAUGGGACUAAAGACUCCUUGGAGAUGACAAGGUUGAUAGGCUGCAGGUAUAAGUACAGUAAUGUAUUCAGCCGAGCAGUACUAAUAGGUCGUGAGACUUAACCAUU